CAUGCGGACAAAAAACAUACUUAUUUUGUUGGCCGUUGGAUUGAAAUUGAUGGUCCAGAUUAAAUUGUCAUUUCCCUCCCAAUCCUUUCCGUUCCCACCCAUCUCCAGUCGUGUUCGAUGCCCAUCUUCCACCGUGUUCGAGCAAGCAGCCAUCCCAUUCCCUUCCUUUCCUACCUAUCUCCUAUCUAUCCAGGCAGAAGUAGGGACUGUUUGACAUCCAGAGCCACUGCCGUUCAGCCCAUAUCGACGUCCUAGACCAUCCAAAACCCACGGCCCAGGCCACCGCUCACAGAGACUCUUUGUCUUUUUGAUCUUUCUCCUCGACGAGCAGCGGCGGUGGCAUUACGGCUAGGGUUUCUGAAUUUGUAUCUAAGAUGCACCAUCAGAGACACCAUCGACAAGGACUGUAGAUCACACUAAAUGGGUUGGCGCAUUUCACCAAAAGCAGGACUUCAUUGAUGUUGUGGCGGCAAUAUUUAAGGGAGCAAUGACAAAGAAGCUGAUAGUGAAUUGCUUUCUGCCCCCAGAAAGAAUACCUAAAUAUCAGUUAUUACAUGAGGAUGUCUGAGAGUCCUUUGGGCGUGAGCAUCAGGCAUUGUUGCUUGAGCAAGUAGUUCUAUGUAAGAGCCUUAUGGCCUUGCAAGGCCUUGGUAAAGAUGAAGGUGAAGCUGGAAGGGGACUCUCCAGCUUAUAAAUCCAGUGUAUAAAAAUAUAACAAUUUAAGCACCCAACAAAUCGUUGGGGCAUCAAUCAGAGGAUGUACCUAUUAAAUGAUGAAAUUGACCUGGAUAUUAGCUUUAGCUGAUAAGUUGUGUAAGAAUUAUACAUGAAUGAGAAUUCUUAUGUUAAUGUUUGA